rnacentral:rRNA from 1 species
CUUACCUACGGGGGGCAGCAGUGGGGGAUAUUGCACAAUGGGGGGAACCCUGAUGCAGCGACGCCGCGUGGGCGAAGAAGUAUUUCGGUAUGUAAAGCCCUAUCAGCAGGGAAGAAAAUGACGGUACCUGAAGAAGAAGCCCCGGCUAACUACGUGCCAGCAGCCGCGGUAAUACGUAGGGGGCAAGCGUUAUCCGGAUUUACUGGGUGUAAAGGGGGCGCAGACGGCGAUGCAAGCCAGGAGUGAAAGCCCGGGGCCCAACCCCGGGACUGCUCUUGGAACUGCGUGGCUGGAGCGC